rnacentral:rRNA from 1 species
CAUGCAAGUCGAACGGGGUGUUUAUUUCGGUAAACACCAAGUGGCGAACGGGUGAGUAACGCGUAAGCAAUCUACCUUCAAGAUGGGGACAACACUUCGAAAGGGGUGCUAAUACCGAAUGAAUGUAAGAGUAUCGCAUGAGACACUUACUAAAGGAGGCCUCUGACAUAAGCUUCCGCUUGAAGAUGAGCUUGCGUCUGAUUAGCUAGUUGGUGAGGGUAAAGGCCCACCAAGGCGACGAUCAGUAGCCGGUCUGAGAGGAUGAACGGCCACAUUGGGACUGAGACACGGCCCAGACUCCUACGGGAGGCAGCAGUGGGGAAUCUUCCGCAAUGGGCGAAAGCCUGACGGAGCAACGCCGCGUGAACGAUGAAGGUCUUAGGAUCGUAAAGUUCUGUUGUUAGGGACGAAGGGUAAGAAUCAUAAUAAGGUUUUUAUUUGACGGUACCUAACGAGGAAGCCACGGCUAACUACGUGCCAGCAGCCGCGGUAAUACGUAGGCGGCAAGCGUUGUCCGGAAUUAUUGGGCGUAAAGGGAGCGCAGGCGGGAAACUAAGCGGAUCUUAAAAGUGCGGGGCUCAACCCCGUGAUGGGGUCCGAACUGGUUUUCUUGAGUGCAGGAGAGGAAAGCGGAAUUCCCAGUGUAGCGGUGAAAUGCGUAGAUAUUGGGAAGAACACCAGUGGCGAAGGCGGCUUUCUGGACUGUAACUGACGCUGAGGCUCGAAAGCUAGGGUAGCGAACGGGAUUAGAUACCCCGGUAGUCCUAGCCGUAAACGAUGGAUACUAGGUGUGGGAGGUAUCGGCCCCUUCCGUGCCGGA